rnacentral:rRNA from 1 species
UACGGAGGGUGCGAGCGUUGUCCGGAAUCACUGGGCGUAAAGGGCGCGUAGGUGGUCUGCUAAGCGUGCGGUGAAAGCCUGGGGCUCAACCCCAGGUCUGCCGUGCGAACUGGUGGACUGGAGCACUGUAGAGGCAGGUGGAAUUCCGGGUGUAGCGGUGGAAUGCGUAGAGAUCCGGAAGAACACCGGUGGCGAAGGCGGCCUGCUGGGCAGUUGCUGACACUGAGGCGCGACAGCGUGGGGAGCAAACAGG